rnacentral:rRNA from 1 species
UACGUAGGUGGCGAGCGUUAUCCGGAUUUAUUGGGUUUAAAGGGUGCGUAGGCGGCUGAUUAAGUCAGCGGUGAAAGGUAGCAGCUUAACUGUUUUACAUGCCGUUGAUACUGGUUAGCUUGAGUUAACAGAAGGCAGAUAGAAUUUCUGGUGUAGCGGUGAAAUGCUUAGAUACCAGGAGGAAUACCGAUUGCGAAGGCAGUCUGCUGCAGUUACACUGACGCUGAGGCACGAAAGUGCGGGGAGUCAAACAGG